rnacentral:tRNA from 1 species
UGGCUUGUAGCUCAAAGGCAGAGUAUCCCGCUCUUAACGGGAGGGUUGUGGGUUCGAAUCCCACCAGGCCAACUA